GAUGAACGCUGGCGGCGUGCCUAAUACAUGCAAGUCGAGCGAACAGACGAGGAGCUUGCUCCUCUGACGUUAGCGGCGGACGGGUGAGUAACACGUGGAUAACCUACCUAUAGGACUGGGAUAACUUCGGGAAACCGGAGCUAAUACCGGAUAAUAUAUUGAACCGCAUGGUUCAAUAGUGAAAGACGGUUUUGCUGUCACUUAUAGAUGGAUCCGCGCCGCAUUAGCCAGUUGGUAAGGUAACGGCUUACCAAGGCAACGAUGCGUAGCCGACCUGAGAGGGUGAUCGGCCACACUGGAACUGAGACACGGUCCAGACUCCUACGGGAGGCAGCAGUAGGGAAUCUUCCGCAAUGGGCGAAAGCCUGACGGAGCAACGCCGCGUGAGUGAUGAAGGUCUUCGGAUCGUAAAACUCUGUUAUUAGGGAAGAACAAAUGUGUAAGUAACUAUGCACGUCUUGACGGUACCUAAUCAGAAAGCCACGGCUAACUACGUG
rnacentral:rRNA from 1 species